UACGUAGGGUGCAAGCGUUAAUCGGAAUUACUGGGCGUAAAGCGUGCGCAGGCGGUGAUGUAAGACAGGUGUGAAAUCCCCGGGCUUAACCUGGGAACUGCAUUUGUGACUGCAUCGCUGGAGUGCGGCAGAGGGGGAUAGAAUUCCACGUGUAGCAGUGAAAUGCGUAGAGAUGUGGAGGAACACCGAUGGCGAAGGCAGCCCCCUGGGUCAAAACUGACGCUCAUGCACGAAAGCGUGGGGAGCAAACAGG
rnacentral:rRNA from 1 species